rnacentral:rRNA from 1 species
GAUGAACGCUGGCGGCGUGCCUAAUACAUGCAAGUCGAGCGAACGGACGAGAAGCUUGCUUCUCUGAUGUUAGCGGCGGACGGGUGAGUAACACGUGGAUAACCUACCUAUAAGACUGUGAUAACUUCGGGAAACCGGAGCUAAUACCGGAUAAUAUUUUGAACCGCAUGGUUCAAAAGUGAAAGACGGUCUUGCUGUCACUUAUAGAUGGAUCCGCGCUUCAUUAGCUAGUUGGUAAGGUAACGGCUUACCAAGGCAACGAUGCAUAGCCGACCUGAGAGGGUGAUCGGCCACACUGGAACUGAGACACGGUCCAGACUCCUACGGGAGGGCGCAGUAGGGAAUCUUCCGAAAUGGGCGGAAGCCUGACGGAGCAACGCCGCGUGAGUGAUGAAAGUCUUCGGAUCGUAAAACUCUGUUAUUAGGGAAGAACAUAUGUGUAAGUAACUGUGCACAUCUUGACGGUAACUAAUCAGAAAGCCACGGCUAACUACGUG